GUGGGGAAUAUUGGACAAUGGGCGCAAGCCUGAUCCAGCCAUGCCGCGUGAGUGAUGAAGGCCUUAGGGUUGUAAUGCUCUUUCAGUGGGGACGAUAAUGACGGUACCCACAGAAGAAGCCCCGGCUAACUUCGUGCCAGCAGCCGCGGUAAUACGAAGGGGGCUAGCGUUGUUCGGAUUUACUGGGCGUAAAGCGCACGUAGGCGGAUCGUUAAGUCGGGGGUGAAAUCCUGGAGCUCAACUCCAGAACUGCCUUCGAUACUGGCGAUCUUGAGUCCGGAAGAGGUGAGUGGAACUCCUAGUGUAGAGGUGGAAUUCGUAGAUAUUAGGAAGAACACCAGUGGCGAAGGCGGCUCACUGGUCCGGUACUGACGCUGAGGUGCGAAAGCGUGGGGAGCAAACAGGAUUAGAUACCCCAGUAGUCC
rnacentral:rRNA from 1 species